CACGCCGUAAACGAUGGAUACUAGGUGUAGGGGGUAUCGACCCCCCCUGUGCCGGAGUUAACACAAUAAGUAUCCCACCUGGGGAGUACGGCCGCAAGGCUGAAACUCAAAGGAAUUGACGGGGGCCCGCACAAGCAGUGGAGUAUGUGGUUUAAUUCGACGCAACGCGAAGAACCUUACCAGGAUUUGACAUCCUCUGACGACGUUAGAGAUAACGUUUCCCUUCGGGGCAGAGAGACAGGUGG
rnacentral:rRNA from 1 species